rnacentral:rRNA from 2 species
GCGAUCAUACCAGCACUAAUGCACCGGAUCCCAUCAGAACUCCGCAGUUAAGCGUGCUUGGGCGAGAGUAGUACUAGGAUGGGUGACCCCCUGGGAAGUCCUCGUGUUGCACCCC